UGCUCUCUGCCCUGUGCGUGAGGUUGCUAUGCCCACGCGGAAUAAUCUUGAAACGGGAACGCUUCCUUGAGCGUGGUGAGCCAGCCCACCCCGAGUGGGACGCCUGAAGCACUCAUAAGUGAACCCACCUUAUUGGCCAUCGUUGUGCGGCCACGGACCCACGGCAGGCGUGGAGAGCUA
rnacentral:other from 1 species